rnacentral:rRNA from 1 species
GACGAACGCUGGCGGCGUGCUUAACACAUGCAAGUCGAACGGAAAGGCCCUGCUUUUGUGGGGUGCUCGAGUGGCGAACGGGUGAGUAACACGUGAGUAACCUGCCCUUGACUUUGGGAUAACUUCAGGAAACUGGGGCUAAUACCGGAUAGGAGCUCCUGCUGCAUGGUGGGGGUUGGAAAGUUUCGGCGGUUGGGGAUGGACUCGCGGCUUAUCAGCUUGUUGGUGGGGUAGUGGCUUACCAAGGCUUUGACGGGUAGCCGGCCUGAGAGGGUGAACGGCCACAUUGGGACUGAGAUACGGCCCAGACUCCUACGGGAGGCAGCAGUGGGGAAUAUUGCACAAUGGGCGGAAGCCUGAUGCAGCAACGCCGCGUGCGGGAUGACGGGCUUCGGGUUGUAAACCGCUUUCGACUGUGACGAAGCGUGAGUGACGGUAAUGGGUAAAGAAGCACCGGCUAACUACGUG